AUUGAACGCUGGCGGCAUGCCUUACACAUGCAAGUCGAACGGCAGCACGGGAGCAAUCCUGGUGGCGAGUGGCGAACGGGUGAGUAAUAUAUCGGAACGUGCCCAGUCGUGGGGGAUAACGUAGCGAAAGCUACGCUAAUACCGCAUACGAUCUAUGGAUGAAAGCGGGGGAUCGCAAGACCUCGCGCGAUUGGAGCGGCCGAUAUCAGAUUAGGUAGUUGGUGAGGGAAAGGCUCACCAAGCCGACGAUCUGUAGCGGGUCUGAGAGGACGACCAGCCACACUGGGACUGAGACACGGCCCAGACUCCUACGGGAGGCAGCAGUGGGGAAUUUUGGACAAUGGGCGCAAGCCUGAUCCAGCAAUGCCGCGUGCAGGAUGAAGGCCUUCGGGUUGUAAACUGCUUUUGUACGGAACGAAACGGCGAGCUCUAAUACAGCUUGCUAACGACGGUACUGUAAGAAUAAGCACCGGCUAACUACGUGCCAGCCGCCGCCGUAA
rnacentral:rRNA from 1 species